GGGCGUUUGGUCUAGUGGUAUGAUUCUCGCUUUGGGUGUGAGAGGUCGCGAGUUCGAUUCUGGCAACGCCCC
rfam:Hordeum vulgare subsp. vulgare, WGS project CAJW01000000 data, contig: morex_contig_254895